AAAGAGUAAUACAUCAACUAGACAUUUUGGAGGCAUUCCUGGACUCGGGGUUAGUCAUAAGUUACAUGAUGAAUUACCAUUUAAAAUAAAGUCAUUCUUGUCCCCACAAGUACAAGCAUUCACCAACAUCCAAUCCACUUCUUCUAGAGACAUGGAAGACUCCUGCCUGGAAUGUGGGCAGGGCCAUGUGAGUAGCUCUGGUCAGUGAAAUGUGAGUGCAUGUGGCUUAUAUCAUCACUUCUGGGCUGAGACAGUUAAAAGCCCACACAUGAUUCUUCAGUUUCUUUUCCUGUGCCACAGCAACCAAGAAGGUCACAUGUUCCAGAAGCUGCAGCUAUAAGGUGGGUGGGGGGACCUAAGUGGGCCUGGGCUCUUGAGUGACUAUGUGGAGCAGAGCUGCACUGACUCUUUCUUAUCCAUGGGUAGCACAAGCGAAAAAUAAACUUCUGUGGUGCAAAGUCACUGAGAUUCAGGAGUUGUUGCCAAAGCGGAGCCGAGCUCAGUGGUUCCCAGUCUGGUCCCAGGCACCACGUAAGAUGUUCCUUUGCUCUUCCUUCAUCUUCCACCAUGAUUGUGAGGCCUCCCCAGCCAUGCUGAACUGGGGUAACCACCACAGGCCCACAGGCUAAAAUUGAGCUGGAGUAAGUGGCAACAGAGAGUAUUUAUUGUCCCCUAAGAGCCCUGGCCCUUGUAGGACAUGUGAAUGCCAGUGCUCAUGGAGAAAGGUGGAGGAAGAGAGCCAGAGUGCAGUUCACCUCUGGGAGAGCAGACCAGAGUGGCUUCCGUGGGCACAUGCUGGAUUGAAGUGAGAAGACGUGACUACUAAAGUUGAGGCCCCAAGUCUCAGCUUCUUCCCCCUCCAAAGCAUGAGUGGAGGAUUCACUUAAGGCCACUUUGGGGAUCAAACAUAGGCACCUGCCUGUCCAAGGGGGUCUAAGUCACAGUACAGAAGUGGUUUGCAAAGGCUGGUGGGAUGGUGUGGCAGGCCUGUGGAGUUGAAUAAAAAUCCUGAUGUCCUUCCUGGCAUGAAGAAUGGAGCUGCCAAGCUGCCCCCAGGAGAAGCGUGCUGCCUAUGCAUCUCACUGGACUUCUGUGUACAGAAGAAAUAUUGGUGGUUUGACCAAACGCUCGGGCUCCCCACGACUCCCGUUGUUAUAUGGGAAAGAACAAGAAACUUAUAAACAAAACAGAGCAAAAACUUUCUGGAACUCUCUGGAGCCCUUGGCUGUUCUCUGGACCUUCCUUUGCUGUGUCUUGGGGCAGGCACAUCUUGGCUUAGGCUGAGCUUUUCUAUUUGCCAAAAGAGUCAUCUCAGAGGGCACAGCCUGGAGUGCAGCUCAACAAACAUAUGUGUAACAGCCGAGUGCCACCACGUUAAGAACUGGACUUACAAGAUGGAUAGGACCUGGUGGCAGCUGUCCUUGAGGAAGCCAGAGCCUGGAGAGACAGAUCUCAUGUUAUAGCAGAGUACCAAUAUUCUGCAGAAAACCAAAACCUCACCUGCAUUCCUACUCCUAUCAUGAUGUUCUGCCCCCCGGGACCCUUGUUUAUGCUGGUCUCUCCUUUUGAAAGAACGUUACCCUUUUCUUCACCCAGCAAAUUCUUACUCAGACUUCAAGACUCAGUUCAGAGUCUGGGGAUGAAUAUUCUACAAAUGGCCCCCAGGAUUGUCAUGGUCCUCACGGCAGGUGAUUUGCUCUUGAACAAUUAACAGAGUGAAGGCUGUGUUCCAUCUCCUCACAGUCUCCCGCUGGGCAUCCUUGGGAGCACAGGAGGAGAAAGGCUUUCUUCUUGAUCCUAUUACUGCUGCCCAGCAUCAAGAAGGAUUAAUUAACCCACCAGGUUUUGCUUCAUUACGAGGAAAAAAGAAAAGCCAGUGACAGUGGAAUUCAAACAUUGAACAGGCAAAGGAAUCAGUGCUCAAGCACCUUAUGAACAUUUCGAAGACUUAGCUGGGCGGUGUGGCGCAAUGUAAAGUAGGGUGACUUGGUGCAAGUUACACACCCCUGCAGCCCUGUUUCUUCAUCCUCAGAGUUCACACUUCAAUUCUACAAAUUGAUGGCCUAUUCUGAGCUAAGCCCCGCCCACUCUGAACUAAGCCCCGCCUACUUUGAUUCCCUACUCUGAGCUAAGGAACAGUCUUUCAUCCCCAUGAAAGCUUUCUGUCUAGAAGGAACUAAAGAGCAUAAUUAUACUUAUUUUCCAGUGCUGUUGUUAGAAUUAAUUAAAUGUGGUAUAGCAUGUGAAAGUACUCUGUAACUAAACAUUGUAUAAAUGUUAAUUAUUCUCAUUUUCAUAUUUGAUAUUCAGGCAUUCAAACAAUUAUUGAGCACUUAUUAGGGCAAAGAACUAUACUUGCAGCUAACAGUUACGUGAAAGAAUUCGAAGACAUUGUUUUUGCUGUUUAGGAAGGUCCCACAUGGCAAAGCAAUUAAGACACACACAUGAAAUAAUUAAACAACAAAGUUGGGCCUAAAGAAGUUUCAUCUCACGUGCUAAUCAUGGCUGGCUGGCUAUGGCUAUCUAGAGUAUUAUGCUGAAAAUGAUUCUGAAGCUCUUUCUGGGCUCAAUUGAAAAGGAUGAUCUGGUGGAUUAGCAAUGAAUGCCAUGGGCAUAAGUUGGGCAUGUAGUGGUACGUGGACUAGUUGUUUAUAGUGCCUAAUACAAGGUAGCAAACAUAAUGAUAAAAGUAACUGUUAUUGAAAUUCAGCCAAGAUUGGUAUCAGUGUAGGCUUGUAUGACUGACAAAGAAUGUAGAGGAGCUAAAGAGUAAGCUUGACCUUGAAUUACGAGUAGGACUUCAGUGAAGAUAGGAGGCUAUUUCAGAAUGCAGGGCAUCUGGUAGGGAGUAGUGGAUGGUGGAGAGUAAGGAACUCAGUACUUGAUUCAAAGCCUGGGUCUCCCAGAAGUGAGCUGUGUGGCUUGGGCCACUUUAUCUCCUGAGGUCUCAGAGUUUUCAUGUAUAAAAUUGUAGAACUUGUCUUGAUGGUUUUGAACAUUCUUUCUAAUUCUGCACAACAGUCCAUUUGUGGGUUAGAUGAGCCUUUACCAAACUGUAUUUCAUGGAACAAUGGUCCCAAGAGCUGUUCUGUGAAAAGUAAGUUUCAUCAUCAAAUAAUUUUGAGAAAUUCUGAAUCCUAUAUACGUGUUGAUUCCUAUUUCUUUCCUUCCAUUCUUUCUUGAGUCCACUCUGAUUGGUCCUUAAAGUUGGAGUUUAUUUUUAUCAUUAUUGUUAUUGUCAUGGUAGUAAAGAUGGACAAAGGCAGAUUCCACAAACAUCUCAAAAUAAAAGUCAAUAGGACUUGGUGAUUAAUUGCAUAUAGGCAAUGCAGGAGAGGGUCUAAGCAAAGAUGUCAAGUAUUUCAAACUAGAAAAUGAAUAGAAUAAGCCAGGGAAUUAUUGAUGGACAAAAGAAGUUGAACCAGGUUGGUGGACAUGGAGCAGGGGUGCGGAGGGAGAAUACCAUCCUGCAGGCUAGGUACCUCAUGGGUACAGGAAGAGAUGCAUCUAGGUUACUCACAGCUAUGGAAGAUUAUUGCAAAGGUGUAAGAAAAGGUGAAGGAGAUCAUCUCAGCAGCAGCAGCAACAGCACAACGUUGGGGUCUAUAGAGACCACCUUAGUUUGCCUAAGACUAAGAAAUUUCUCAGGACACGAGCCUUUCAGUUCAAAAACUAGGUAAGUUCUGUACCAAAAAAGUUAGUUGUAUUAUUAGGGGAUCAAUUUUCCUUAUUCUAGAAUGGACAGCUGGAUUCAUAAUCAAAGGACAAUGUGUUGUUGCCAGCAAUUUCUGUUGAGCAUUUUAUGAACAGAGUUUAGAUUAGCCCCUUAACAGAUGGCUGGUGUCUCCUGUGCCUAGCACAUGUAGAAGCAUCUUUAGCCCGUCCAACCCUCUCUGGUCUUCCUGGCUAUGGCUGGGUAACAUUUGGAUCCACCUCUUAAUGGAGUAUGCCAUAUGCAGUGGGAAAAACAGAGAGGACUGCUUUCAUACCAUAUUCGUGUGAUAGAAUGAAUAAUUCUUUCAUGGGUUCCUCCCCGAGUCCAUCCAGUUCAGAGGAAAGAUGAUUAGGACUUUCCUCCAGCUGACUUUAAGGGAGGGUGGGAUGUUUAGGUAGAGGAGUAUUUACAAAAUCAGGGGAAAGAGUUGCAUUUGGGCUUAAAAAAUUCCUGAAUAUUCUUUUUUAAAAGAAAUGCCUGGUCAAAUACCGUAGGGAAUUACUGAGGAAGAACUUGAAAGAGGGAUGGAGAAGGAAGAGGAAAGAUAGAAAAGAAAAGAGACAGUAGGAGAGAAAAAGAGAGGAGAGAGAGAGAGAGAGAGAGAGAGAGGUUUGUCACAACCAGGUUUUCCCACCCCUACCUAGGGCAUUAGAACCUUCCACUAUUGCAGCUAAGAGAAUAGAGCAUGUGAACAGCUUGUACAUUUACUUAAACACCAAUGGUUUCAGCUUCUCAUACUGCACUCUACUCAAAGGUACAGUAGAUUCAGGGACCUGUCACUUAAGACAACUCUUUACCUUCCAACCAACCAAAGUGCAUUUUACAAUGUCAAUGCCAUUUCACAGAGAGGGGCAUUCAUCAGGGGUGUCUGAAGUCCAGGCCAGCCUGAGAAGGAGGUGCCAAGGCUUGGGAGUUGAGGGACCCAGGUCCUAGCUUUCUCUCCACUGGGCUCCAUUGUGUGAUCAUGGGCAACUGGCUAAACAUCUCUGGACUUUGUUCUUCCAACCUUUAAAAGGAAGCAAGGACCCACUCUUUUUGUUGAAAGAAGCUGGAGAGAGUAACUGCUGAGCCCAGGGAGAGGAGGGCAGAUGCAGGGCCAUUGUAGCCUGCUCUCACGAAUAUAAACACUCUAGAGUUUGGUCAACCCCAAAGGCCCUUUCUUCCUUAUUGGUUACUCAGGAUUUCCAAUCACCUGGGGCUCUCAAAAGUCAACAGGGGCCACUCAGCUAACCUCAGGGGUUUGAUAUAACCGGCAGGUGAAAGAGGCCAAAAAGACCUCCCCAGACUUCAGCGAGUUGUCAGCCCUUAAGCCCUUGAGCCUGCAGCAGGGGAUGAAAUAUCCUUUGGUUUUCAAAUCCCAUUGACCCAGGGCUUAUCCACGAAGGCAGGCUGGAACCUGGAGCAUAGGGCGAAGGCAGAUGUGGCAGGUUGGCUCUAGGCAGAAUCACUUGGUAGACCCGUCCUCGGCACCUGAUUCUACAUCUGGAAAAGUGAGUGAUAACUGUUGGAGUAAUAGUCCUCAGGAGUGCCUGUUAAAAGGGAUCAAAGCUUUGUGCUAAAGGGGAUCCUAGGAAGUAUAAGAGAAAUAGCUGAGAGCAGCCAAAAGGUACAGGAUGUGGAAUAGGGGCACGGAGGCAGCGCUGGUAACCAGCCCUGCACACACUCAUUAAGGCCCAACCAUGAGCUGUGACCAGAGAGUUGGGAUAUGCAUUUGGAAGUUGAAGUCCAAGUUUACAUCUUUCAUUGUGAGUCCUCAGUGGACCCAUCUACCUGUUGAUGGUGAACAGGUCCAAGACUGUAAUGAGGUGUAAGUACCAUUAGGUGGCGAUACAUGAAUGCCUUUCCCAUCUGGUUCCAAAAGAAGAGCACUAUGGGUUUGUCUCCCAGCUCAGGCUUAUAAGCAGCACAUCCAUGUUCCCUGCAUCUGUAGAUCAGCUUUAGCACCCACAGUGCCAGCUGCAAGUGGGGGUAGUGUGUGUGCGUUUUGAGCGCGUGCAUGCACAUAUGCCAAUUGUUGUGUAUUUUCACCUCAAUGUCGGUGACCAGCAAAUGAGGCAUCAGUGACACCCUGGCAGCAACUGACUACUUGGGCCACACUCUGAAAAUGGAUUGCCUCUGUUUUCUCUGCUUGAUCUUCACUGGGGGAAAAGAGUUAAAUUCGAUUUCCAGGAGCUCUCCAUGAGAGCCAACUUCAGCACAAGUUCCCAUUUCCAGAGAGGCUGCCGAGUCUCUCAUUUGUAAAGGCCUCCUCCCUUUGCCCUGAGCGGACUAGCCUUCCCCUACUUCUGCCUCUUUGCCUCUGUGUCACAGUUUUGUGGUCGAUGACACCCUCUCCUUAUCCUGCACCUCCUCCUGGUCUUGCCGACAUGGCUCAAUACUUUGUGCCUAAAUACAGGACUUGUACCAGUCUCCUAUGUCCCCGUGGAGGGCCCAGUGACAAAGGAAAAAAACCAGCCUUUCUCUGCUCAUCUGGGUGCAUAGGGCUCACCCUGAGGGAAGCUGGAAGUGGCAGCAAAUUUUUGUUUAUAAAUAAAAACAAAGACAACUUGUCGUUCCAAAGGAAAAUGCCCCCUGGUGAAAGAAACACUUAAAACCACUGAAGAAUUAGUUUCGUUUUGUCCUUGGUGGCCACCCUGUCAGCAGGUUUCCUUGAUCUUAUGUUGGUGACAGAGUCUCAAACUGAAUGCCAAGGGAAGGAUUCCACACAUAUUCCUUGGAUUUGUAGCUGAGGUACAGCCCUGGGCCUGGGGACAUGGAGAAGACCCAGCCUGCAAAACUCAAUCAUGGCUCUGCAGAUUUUACCCAGUUUGGAGAUCUACUAGCUACCACACUCGACACACACACACACACACACACACACACACACACACACUAUGAUGGAUGUCAUUCUUGUCUGCAACAUGCUCUAGUGACUGGGCCCAAGUCAGGCACAGCUUCUUGUGUGAACUGAAACACCAUUCUUUUCUUCCCUGUGUGAAAAAACAGAAUACAAGGGUGAGUGAUCUUAUGAAAACACUACUGAAUCUGUUCCAUUUUACAUAUUCACAAAAUUGAGGCCACUUAAUGUAAUAGAUAAAAGUAAUACAGAGACAACUACAAUAGGAAACAAAAGGUGAGAAAUGACAGAAGAAACAACACUCAGUGAAUACUGGGACUCAAGAGCAGGAGCAAUGGCAGCCACUUUGGAGUAGGAAGGUGAGCACUAGGAAGGGCCCCCCACCCCCUGCAAUAAGCUUUGAUGGACGGAUGGAAUUUUUUUCAAGGUAUUCUUUUUUAAAAAACAUCUUUAUUGAGAUAUACUUCAAAUACUAUAAAAUUCACUCAUUUAAAGCAUACAAUGCAGUGGUUUUUAGUAUAUUCACAGAGGUACACAACCAUUGUCACAAUCUAAGUUUAGAACAUUUUUGUCGCCUCUAACAGAAACAUGCAGUCAUGAGCAGUCAGCCCCAUUCACCCCUCACUCCCCAGCCCUAGGCAACCACUAGUCUACUUUCUGUCUCUAUAGAUGUGCCUAUUCUAGGUAUUUUAUAUUAAUGGAAUUAUAGUUUUUUGUGGCUGUCUUCUUCAACUUAGCAUAAUGUUUUCAAGGUUUGUCCAUGUUGUAAAAGGUGUCGGUACUUCAUUUCUUUUCAUGGCCGAAAAAUAUUCCAUUGUAUAGAUAUUCCCCAUGUUUGUUUAUUCAUUCAUCUAUUAAUGAACAUUUGGGUUGUUUCCACUUUUUGCCUAUUAUGAGAAAUGGUGCAGUUCUUUCAUCUGCAUGUUUUUAUGUGGACAUGUUUUCAUUUCUCUUGGGUGUAUACCUAGGAGUGGAAUUGCUAGGUCAUAUAUUAUCCCUAUGUCUAACUUUUUGAGGAAUUGCCAAACUGUUUUUCAAAGUGGCUGCACCUUACCGCAUUCCCACCAGCAAUAAAUAAGGGUUUCAAUUUAUCAGUGUCCUUGUUAUAGUCUGUCUUUUUGAUGAUAGACAUCCUGGAGGGUGUGAAGUGGUAUCUCGUUGUGGUUUUGAUUUGCAUUUCCCUGAUGACUAAUGAUGUUGAGCAUCUUUUCAUGUGCUUAUUAGCUAUUUGUAUUUUUUUUUUUUGGUGUUGGGGGACAUAUGUCUAUUCAAAUCCUGGGCCCAGGUCAGGCACAGAUGCUUUUUAAUUCGGUUGUCUUUUUAUUUUUGAGUGGAUGGCUGAGUUUUUGAGAGGUGUAGGAGUGUAGGAGCAAAAGCUUAGAUGUGGAAAAGGUAGGCACUUGUAAGGAGUAAGAAGUAAAACAGAUUGGCUUCAGAGUGUAGCAUUUUCAUGAGAGAUGUGACUCUGCAUUUAACAGAAAAGGC
rnacentral:lncRNA from 10 species